CCUUCGGGUUGUAAAGCUCUUUCGACUGGAACGAUAAUGACGGUACCCGAGGAAGAAGCGGCGGCUAACUACGUGCCAGCAGCCGCGGUAAUACGGAGGGGGCAAGCGUUGUUCGGAAUUACUGGGCGUAAAGAGUGUGUAGGCGGUGCUCUAAGUCUGUUGUGAAAUCCCUCGGCUCAACUGGGGGGGUGCCGCCGAUACUGGAAGGCUUGAGUAUGGGAGAGGGUGACGGAAUUCCUGGUGUAGCGGUGAAAUGCGUAUAUAUCUGGAGGAACACCUGUGGUGUAGGCGACUUACUGGACCUGUACUGACGCUGAGGCACGAAAGCGUGGGUAGCAAACAGGAUUAGAUACCCUGGUAGUCCACGCCCUAAACGAUGCAUACUUGGUGUGAG
rnacentral:rRNA from 1 species